GUUAGCGAAGCUCAAUCGGCGGGAGCACCUUUCACAACCGGAGGUUGCGGGUUCGAGGCCUGCCACUGGCA
rnacentral:tRNA from 1 species